GCCACAAUGCCCUUUAUGACAGUUUCAUAAAUCACACACUGUUCUCCCCAUCUUAUGCUAUUGGUCACACAGAAAGCCCUGAUUCAGUUCAGGGAGAGUAUAUACAAGGGCAUGGAUUCUAGGAGGUGAGGGUUCCGGGAGGAGGAGGAGCAUUUUUGGAGCCUAGACCACAGUAGCAUCCUGGAACAUCAGAGCUGGGAGAGUUCUUAGAGAUCAUCCGUUUCAACAUCCUCAUUUAAUAGCUGAGAAACCUAAAGAUCAGAGACAUUAUGCAACCUGCUCCAGGUCACUCAGUGAAUUGUGUGUUCACGUUUAACUCGGGACUCAACAGUGCCUGCAGGCAGCGCGUUUUAUGAGGCUAUGUGAGAACUGUAGCCUAUGGUCAAACAGCGUCACUAUGCUGAUGAAGGAAGUCAGAGAUGAUGCUUUAAACAAGAGCUGCCUAACGAAUCCAGGGCAGAGCCUAUUACAGGAGUUCAUUCAUUCUUUCAAAAUAUAUUUGCGUCCGUACCUUAUACCUGGCACUGGUCUGGGCAAUGGCACACAGGCAAGCAAAAACGUGCUCCUGCUCUCGUGGACCUUAUAGUGUAGACAGACAUGCACUGUGUAGUCCUACCAAUAAUGGCAAUAUCAUAACUAUGGCAAGUGCUCUGAAGAGGAGGUUGAAGCUCUGUGAAAGCACAACAGAAUAUUGACUCUGCUGCAUCCAACGAGGCUUCCCCAAGGAAGUGAUGAUUCACUUAUCAUUUGACAACCUGAGACAAUAGGUGUGCUCUGGCAACUGUCACGUUGAUUCCUGUCAGCCCCCGCCAGCCUGGGAAGUAGACUUUCACCACAAGAUGGAAAAGUAAGAGGGGAGAUUAUGAGGGGCUCCCAGCCUGCCUGACAGCAGUAGGAGAAGAGUCGGAACUCUUGGACUUUUUGCUUUGAGGCAUUUAAAUGGAAAUUAAAGUAAAUUUGCUCUUUUGGGAUAAUUCAUCCUUUUCUUGUGAUUUUUGAAACUAUGAAAUGUUGGAGCACUUAGGUAGGAAGAUGUUUUUGAAGUUUUGAGGUGCUUCCUUGAUGUUUCAACUUUGAAGCUCCUGUCUGUGAAUAAGUUCAGCCCUUAUUCCACCUUUCUCUUCUGAACAAUGCCAGUGAGUGAGAAGAAAAUAUCCAGUAGGGAGAAGUCACUUAUCUUUGAUCCACACACAAACCCCGCUCCAUUUAGCCAAUAGAGGAGCAGGAUUCAAAAAUGCCCGUCUGUCUGGAAACCACGCACAUCACAUUUAAUAGAAUGGGCAGCGACUGCACCUUCUAUCUCUAACUACUGCCUUUCUGCCUCCCAGAUGCCCCAGUGCAGACACGCUCUCUUAAAGGAGUCUCCUCGUGAC
rnacentral:lncRNA from 1 species